GGCACGCAGGCCGCUGUCGUCAGCUAAGGAUGUGAGGCGCCAGGAAGAGCCACACGGGCCCACGAAUGACCACCGUGUCCUAGCAGAGCCCGUGUGGGAGGUCCUCAUGUGUACGUGAGUGGACCAGCAUCCUCAUUCAGACACACCGCCACAGAGACUUCCAGAAACAACAGGGAAGCUGACUUCUCUGGGGUGACGCACGGGGACUGGCACACCAAGGUCAGCCUCCCUCCCCCACUGUCCCCACCUGGGCCUGCCAGCCACAGGCAGCUCCCUCCGCAUGGUAUAGCCAGGGGCAGGGCGGGACCCACAAGGUUUAGGCUAAUGGCAGGUAGUGGUCAGAAUUUAGACGAGACUCUCGGACUCCUGGGAUCCCAUCCUGCUCCCACCUCCAGACUCCCCCUCCACACCCCUCUGCCAGGUCCUGCCCCACCAGGGUGAGGGCCCUGUUCUAAGGGGCUGCGCGGCUGUUCCUACGAGGCCUGCGCACGGGUAUGAGGGGUCCUUGCUGGAGGUGCAGCCGGCAGUCGGAGCUGUUGGAGGCAGAGCUGCCUGCUGGCCUGGGACGGGCACAGGGACCUCUUCACCAGGGCUCUGAGGAGACGCACGCCCUGGGGCUGCAGAGUGGGACCUGGACAUGCCGUGUGGGCGUGCGUGGGCUGAUCCCGUGCACAGGCUUGCACACAUGUCUGUGCACACAAAGGAAGGGAGGAGGAUGAGGAAGGGUCUUCCCUCAGCCCUCCCCAGAAACCCACACCCGGUAUGUAUGGGAAGAGGUGUCCUGACCGUGGAAGAAAGGAAGGAAGUUGGCUCCCUGCCCACAGGGAGGGAGGCAGGUACAUGAGGUUGGAUGUGACCACUAUGGAGACAGGCAGCACCCUGCCUCCACAAGGCAUCUCACCCUCCACCCACCCUGGUCACUGCGAGCAAACAUGGCUGAGCGAGGCCAGGUGGGAGGCGACGCUGAUUAAUUCUGGACACUGCAGCGUGGUGGGUUAAUGUAUGCCAGGCGAGGGGGGGGGGCCAAGGCUCGCCAACCAAGGUCAGCAGAUUAGUAUAUUGAUCAAAGAGCUGCCUUUUACCUCCCUCCUCUCAAAGAGCCUUCUGGUCCUUUGCCCUGAAGCUGGCCAGGGCCUCUGGGGAAUGAGAGGUCCACCCUGCGGGCUACCCUGCCUGCUGGCCCCUGGCCCUGGCCUUGUUCUGACCUGCUGUGUAGCACAGAGCCCCAGGGGCGAGUUGCUCCCCUUCUCUGCAGGAUGGAGCCUCCACACCUCCUCCCCGGGGUUCCCAGCACUGUGUCCUCCAGGGCCAUGCUGUCUGGACACCAGCCAGUGGCCACUCCAUGCUAUUGGCCAGAGCUUCAUCUGGAGGAGCCACAGCACUGUCCACGGUGCCCUCUAGCUGGUCCCCUGCUCAUGCAGUUCACUCAUUAUUCAUUCACUGUGCUCAGCGGACAGGACAGGACUGGGGAAUGAGGUUGGCCGGAAGCUGAGCACAGGAGAGGCUGGGCUCUGCCUCAGACGGGUCAGUCUCCCCCUGGCCACUAGCACGGAAAAACUCCCUCAGGCUCUCUGUCCGAGGUCUCCUUCCCCUAGAUGGGGUGACCUCAUUUUAGGGAAGAAAUAGUCAAUGAGAUAAUGUGCAAGUGCCCUGGAUAGCUCUGAUCAAUUGUGACCCAGCAAUCUCACGUCUGGGUACGAACCUGGGAGAACUGGCAUGCCCAGCCGCGCUCACAGGGCCUCAUUCACAAAGCCAAGAUGGAGAAGCGGCUCGUGCGUGGGCGGAGACUGGACGGCUGGCAACAGGGUGUGGUCCCUGCACCGUGGGCCGCUCCUCGGGCUGAGGCAGGAAGGGCCGCCACUCAGGCGGGCCUGGAAGACACGCGGUGAAUGAACGCUGGGGACGAACCCGGGGCCUCACACACGCCGGCACACGCUCCACCACUGAGCUGCACCCCACACACGAUUUUCCAAAUAUUUUUGGCCUGUGGUUGGUUGACUCUGAAGGAGAGAAACCCAGAGGACCCCCUGAAGUUCUGAGUUACCUGUCACUUCUCAAGCAUUGGGCCUGCCCACCCGUCCUAGGGUGACAUGGAGUUGACCUCUUCCUUCCUGGAGUAAGACUGUGGCCAGGCGGCUUGGGCAUAUGGGAGAGGGGCCCCACCCCCGCCCCAUGCUGACCUCAGAACCCAGGCUCCUGGGAACCCACACCCCAGGCAGAGGCUCCGCUGUGGCAGCUGGCCGCCAGCCCAGCUCCUGAUGGUCCCCUGGGUCCCCUACUCCAAGGCCGGAGAGAGAGGAAGCCAUUCAGCCUGCAGGUGGGGCUGGUGGUCCCCAUCCCCAGGGACCCCGGCUGCCAUUGCCAGGGACAAGGUUGCACUGAAAAGCCACUUCGGGCUGGGAGGAGGAGGGGGGCAUCGAGGGGAUGGAAGAGUGGCAAGAGGGUGGGUCACGGGUGGCUUCCUGGGCCCACGCAGCCCCCCGGACUCGACUGCAGAGCUGGGCCCAGAAACCUGCACAUUUCCAGAGCUCCCAGGGAUCCUCACCCACACCCACGCCAGAUGUGAGCCACCGGCCGAUCCUGUCCCCUUUGGCAGGGGGACUCUGAAUUCCCGUCUCCAUGUGCAGAGUGAGACCCAGAGGACGGGGCUGGGGCAGCAGAGGGGGGGAUCCACGGGUGCACACGGCCACUGAAGCUGCUCCUCCUAGCAUCGUCCUGGUCACCCCAGAGCCACCUGCCCAGAGGGACCAAGGCUGGCAGCCCCCCAAAGGGAGAACCCUCCCCCUCCCACCAGGGGCUCCCAGGAGGCUUUGCUGCCACCCUGGCCUGUUUUCUGUACCUGUCUCUCUCUUCCCAGCCCCAGAUUUCAGAGGCAGCUGUCACCAGCAGGGAACCCAGGACAUCCUGGGACUCAGCUGAUUGGCCUCUUGAUGACGAUGCCCAAGGGCAGCAACCUCCCUGGGAUCAGCCACAGGUGCAGGACGAAGCCCCUCCUCCCACCAUGUCCUUAACCCCCUAAACACCUGCAAGCUCACAGUGCACGUCACAGAUGAAGAGACUGCAGCUCAGAGAGGCCACAGGACCUGCCAGCAGAAACUGACGUGGACCUGCACCUGGCGGGGCUCCGGGCCUGCUGUGUCUGUGCAGGCCAAGCCGAACCCCAGGGUCCAGUUCACUGCCCACUGCCCGCAACUCAGCAGAGAAAGGCCACUAAGUCCCAGGAUAGGAGAGAGGAGUCCAACACACACCGAGACUGACGGCUGCCUCCAGCCCAAGUGCCAGGGACAAUGCCAGGCAGCUGUGUCCUGCUGGAAAGACAAUCAGGGUGUCCAGGCCCCUAAUGCCCCAAUUGAAGGUCACCUUGGCUGGCCUUGUGCAGACCUCAGCCAGGAGAGGCCUGAGCCUUACCAGGAGGAGAAGCCCAGGCGCUCGCAGCAUCUGCUGGCCGGACUGUUUGACAGGCAGCUGCCAGCCCUGGGUCAGUGCCAGCUGGCCUCAGGGUCCCUGCCACAGCUUUCCUUCAGAAUUCCCAGGAGCCCUGAGAGCUGCCACCACCUGGAUGCCACCCCAGCCUCCUGGUGUGGCCUGGUGUCCAGCUCUCAAAGUUGCCAGGUGACUCUCACUUGCACCAGGCUGAAAGGUGGGGCGGGCGGUCCCCAUUCUCUGGGCGGGUCCCUCUGGAAGCUUAGCCCAGACAAGGCCCCAUGGGUGGACUCUCUCAAGUGCUGGCUCCCCUGACCCCGUAGUCUAGUCAGCGGCUGCCGUCCACGCAGCCAGAGGCGGGGCUGUGCCCCCCUGCUCCUGCCCUGGGCACCUGCAGGUCGGAGCGUCCCUCGCGGGCAGCUGCCGGCCUCCUCCAGGCCUCCUGCUGCCCGCUGGCCCCCUCUCCUCCUCUAUUAGGAGUCUCUCCUUGUUUUUCAGCACGUGGCUAAGAAGCGUCCUUCUCAGGAAAAUCUCCCUGACCCUCCCAAGUGCGUGUCCAGCUCCCUGACUCCUGGCCCCAGGGUCAAGGGCAGGGAGCAGGUGCUUCCUAGAAGAGCUCCCUGUGGGGCAGGGCCUCUGUGGCUAUUUACCAGGUGGGGACACCUGACAGGCCUUUGGUCCCUGAAACCCAGGGGCUGCCAGAGGGGACACAUGCUCUGAGGCACCAGCCCCAAGCCUUGGUCAGCUGUGUCCUGCUGGGAGGACAGGCAGGAGGGCGGCUCUCCCCUCUGCUACUCUGGCCCUGUCCCUGACCACAGGUGCCAUCUGUCUGCUGGGCCUCAGGCUGUUUCCCCACACCCCAGCCUCCCAGCUGGGUCUCUUGCAGGGGCCAGUGAUCUAUCUAAUCCCUUAAUCAUCGUUGCUCCCUGAGGUCGAGAUCCACAAACAAAGGCUCCUGCGCCCUGGGCUUCUUGCUGCUUGUCCUGGUUGAUUUCUCUGUCUCACGGCAGAGCUGAGUCCAGGGGGUUAGAGUUGUCCCAGGAAGCUCCACACAAAGUCCUCUUCUGCCCAUGGAGGCCUGGGAACUGGCUGAAAGGGGCCAGGGACCUGGGGGGACGGGGACAGGAGCCCGCAAUAGGGCCGGGUGGGCGGAGGCGGAGUGCCUGCCAGCCCUUGGUCUUGCCUGCUCUCCGGGGCACUGGCUCCUGCCAGCUCCUCACGCCCCCAGGUCUAUGCAGAGCCUGGGGCCUGGAUAGUGUCCGACAGCAGGUUUUAGACUGUACAUCAGAGUGUUCUGAGGGGUGUAAGAGAACCCGGGAAACCCCUCCCACCCUCCAGGCCUCCAGGGUAAGGCUACCAGAUUCAGCAAAUGAAGUUUCAGGAAGCUAAACCUGAAUUUCAGAUAAACAACAAAUGAUGUUUAGGAUACCCUGUCUCACGGGUACCCUGUCUCACGGGUACCCUGCCUCACGGGUACCCUGUCUCAUGCAUUAUUUAAGGUAGAGCUAUACUAAAAACUUAGGGUGUCCUUCUGAUAUCAAGGUUCUCUGCAGAGGCUGGCUUUGUAUCUGACCACCUUUCUCUCAGGCCUCCAGCCUGUCCCCAGCGGUGGCCCUGGGAACUCCCAGGAGCUUCACGACACUGAGUACAAACCAGUGCCCUCUCUGGACUCCUCCUCAAGUGGGCAAGUGAUCCCACAGGCCACACUGUCUUCCAGAGGGGCUUACAGCCAAUAGCAGCAGACAAAAGAGUAUAGUCAGGUCUCCUGACUUACCCACUGGCCAUCUGUCUGUCUAUCAAUAUACCCAUCCAUCCAUCCAUCCAUCCACUUACCUACCUAUCAUCCAUCAAUCCAUUGAUCCAUCCAUCCACCAAUCCACCCACUAUUAAUUCAUCUAUCAAACUAUUUACUCUCCCACUCUCCCAUCCAUCCAUCUAUCCAUCCAGUCGGCCAGCCGUCUAGCCAUCCAUCCAUCUAUCCACCAUCAUCUACCCAUCCACUCACCUUUCCAUCCAUCCAUCCAUCGAUCCAUCAAUCCAUUGAUCCAUCCAUCUAACAAUCAACCCACUAUUAAUUAAUCUAUCAAACUGUUUACUCUCCCACUCUCCCAAUCAUCCAUCCAUCCACCCAUCUACCAUCCACUCACCUAUCCAUCCAUCUAUCCAUCCAGCCAGCCAGCCAGCCAGAGAGCAAACAUUUAUCCAGAACCACCAGGCUCUGGGCCUUGUACAAGCUCCUGAGAGAACAGAAAUGAACAAGGUGGGUUUAAGUCCCCCGUGGUCUUCAUGAGCUUCUGGGGGAGCAGAUCAUAGCCCAGCAAGUGUCCUGGGGUAAGGGUAUGAUCCAGUGGGUGUAGAUCCUGUGCAGGGGAUACAAGCCCCCAUGUGGGGAGGGGCUGUCCCUGAAGGGGGUGCCUAGGCUGCGUCCUAAAGAGGAGAAACAUCUGCUGAGAAAAGUUCUCAGGGCAGUGGACCUGCAGGUGCCUGUAGCCCCGAGAAGUGCUGAGUCGGGGUCGGUUUCUGUCCCCACACGUACCCCAGUCUACACUCACACAACAUGGCACAGGGCCAGGUCUCUACUGAGUACCACUGCUGUUUCUGGAUCAGAGGGUUCUUUGUUGAGUCACCUCCCCAGCCUCUACCCCCAGAUACAACAGAGAAACAGACAGCACUCUGCACAUUGCCAAACACCUCCCGGGGAAUCUCGCCUAUCGAGAACCCGUCUUAGAGGCUGCUGCUGCGGGGCAAAGACCAAAGCAAGUGUGGGCUUCUCUUUCCAGGAGGUUCUAGAAGUUUCUUCCAGAAACUCAGGGACGCUGGAGUGAGUGUGUGAGUGAUUAAACAAAAAUCUGUUUCAACACUGCCCGACGGGAACACAAGCCAAGGCCUGGCAGUGUGUAACUAUCGCACAAAGGGUUAACCCCACAGACAAGACGGCUGCUCUUAAAUGUAUCUCAAUCACAGAUCUGUAUGUGCAUAUCAGCAGUCAGUGGCAUAUUGAAUUUUUUCACACUGUUUACCUAGCAUAAUUUGCAGUUGGUCUGUAUUUGAUUAAACACCAUCAUCUUUUAUGUACGAGUUACAUAAGUAAAUAGAAAAAUCAUUUACAGUCCGAUGCCCCAUGAAAAAUUGAUCUCUGGUCUGUCUGGCACCAACACUGGGAGUCGCUGGGGCCGUGUGGCUAAUUGGAUGUGGGGGGGUGAGGUGGCGUUUGAGGCGAGCCAGGCGCUUCAUUUCCUCG